rnacentral:rRNA from 1 species
GCUAAAUGCGCGUCAGAACGUGAACUGCAGGACACAUGAAACACCGACACGUUGAAACGCAUAUUGCGCAUCGGACGUUUCAACCCGACCGAUGCACACAUCCUUGAGUGCC